GAUGAACGCUGGCGGCGUGCCUAAUACAUGCAAGUCGAGCGAACAGACGAGGAGCUUGCUCCUCUGACGUUAGCGGCGGACGGGUGAGUAACACGUGGAUAACCUACCUAUAAGACUGGGAUAACUUCGGGAAACCGGAGCUAAUACCGGAUAAUAUAUUGAGCCGCAUGGUUCAAUAGUGAAAGACGGUUUUGCUGUCACUUAUAGAUGGAUCCGCGCCGCAUUAGCUAGUUGGUAAGGUAACGGCUUACCAAGGCAACGAUGCGUAGCCGACCUGAGAGGGUGAUCGGUCACACUGGAACUGAGACACGGUCCAGACUCCUACGGGAGGCAGCAGUAGGGAAUCUUCCGCAAUGGGCGAAAGCCUGACGGAGCAACGCCGCGUGAGUGAUGAAGGUCUUCGGAUCGUAAAACUCUGUUAUUAGGGAAGAACAAAUGUGUAAGUAACUAUGCACGUCUUGACGGUACCUAAUCAGAAAGCCACGGCUAACUACGUG
rnacentral:rRNA from 1 species